UACACUCCUGCGGGAGGCAGCAGUGGGGAAUUUUGGACAAUGGGCGAAAGCCUGAUCCAGCCAUGCCGCGUGCAGGAUGAAGGCCUUCGGGUUGUAAACUGCUUUUGUACGGAACGAAACGGCCUUUUCUAAUAAAGAGGGCUAAUGACGGUACCGUAAGAAUAAGCACCGGCUAACUACGUGCCAGCAGCCGCGGUAAUACGUAGGGUGCAAGCGUUAAUCGGAAUUACUGGGCGUAAAGCGUGCGCAGGCGGUUAUGUAAGACAGUUGUGAAAUCCCCGGGCUCAACCUGGGAACUGCAUCUGUGACUGCAUAGCUAGAGUACGGUAGAGGGGGAUGGAAUUCCGCGUGUAGCAGUGAAAUGCGUAGAUAUGCGGAGGAACACCGAUGGCGAAGGCAAUCCCCUGGACCUGUACUGACGCUCAUGCACGAAAGCGUGGGGAGCAAACAGGAUUAGAAACCCUUGUAGUCCCAUGA
rnacentral:rRNA from 1 species